CAUUAGCGUGAGGAAUUAUAUCUGGGUCCUUCUCGAAACUCUCGAUGCUGUCGGAGUUGAGAGGCAGAGUCGACGAUUUAUCACGUGGAGAGGAACUGCCGGUUCCGGACGCGGCUAGAUUCGCCAUGCCGCCGUCGUCAUGAGAAUCCUUGUCCUCCUGAGUCCUUGGUCGAUACCGUAAUCUCACAGCCAGAACUAUCACAAAGAUCACUAGUAGAAGGCCCGCCGUUGCUCCGACCACCGCACCGAGCAAUGGUCCAGACAGCGACAGCAUCACUGGUGUCAGAGCUGGAAAUCAUGGUAACCGUACGUGCUGAAGAAAAAAAAGGAUCACUUUUUUCUGUUUCAUCGAGCUGUAAAGAGCAGUUGAAG
rnacentral:misc_RNA from 1 species